rnacentral:rRNA from 1 species
UGGGGAAUAUUGGACAAUGGGGGAAACCCUGAUCCAGCCAUGCCGCGUGUGUGAAGAAGGUCUUCGGAUUGUAAAGCACUUUAAGUUGGGAGGAAGGGCUUACGGUUAAUACCCGUGAGUUUGACGUUACCGACAGAAUAAGCACCGGCUAACUUCGUGCCAG